UGGUACGCGAGCUGGGUUUAGAACGUCGUGAGACAGUUCGGUCCCUAUCUGCCGUGGGCGCUGGAGAACUGAGGGGGGCUGCUCCUAGUACGAGAGGACCGGAGUGGACGCAUCACUGGUGUUCGGGUUGUCAUGCCAAUGGCACUGCCCGGUAGCUAAAUGCGGAAGAGAUAAGUGCUGAAAGCAUCUAAGCACGAAACUUGCCCCGAGAUGAGUUCUCCCUGACUCCUUGAGAGUCCUGAAGGAACGUUGAAGACGACGACGUUGAUAGGCCGGGUGUGUAAGCGCAGCGAUGCGUUGAGCUAACCGGUACUAAUGAACCGUGAGGCUUAACCUUACAACGCCGAAG
rnacentral:rRNA from 1 species